rnacentral:rRNA from 1 species
CGAGAAAUCGGGAUUAACACUCCAUAACACUGCGAAGUGGCAUCACUAUGCAGUUAAAACUCCGGUGGUUAAAGAUGGGCAUGCGUGACAUUAGAUAGUUGGUGAGGUAACGGCUCACCAAGUCUACGAUGUCUAGGGGUUCUGAGAGGAUGAUCCCCCACACUGGUACUGAGACACGGACCAGACUCCUACGGGAGGCAGCAGUAAGGAAUAUUGGUCAAUGGACGCAAGUCUGAACCAGCCAUGCCGCGUGCAGGAAGACAGCCUUAUGGGUUGUAAACUGCUUUUAUACAGGAAUAAACCCCCUUUCGUGAAAGGGGCUGAAGGUACUGUACGAAUAAGGACCGGCUAACUCCGUGCCAGCAGCCGCGGUAAUACGGAGGGUCCAAGCGUUAUCCGGAUUUAUUGGGUUUAAAGGGUGCGCAGGCGGACCUAUCAGUCAGUGGUGAAAUCUCUCGGCUCAACCGGGAAACUGCCAUUGAUACUGUAGGUCUUGAGUUUGGUUGAAGUGGGCGGAAUGUAGCAUGUAGCGGUGAAAUGCAUAGAUAUGCUACAGAACACCGAUCGCGAAGGCAGCUCACUAAACCAAAACUGACGCUCACGCACGAAAGCGUGGGUAGCGAACAGGAUUAGAUACCCUGGUAGUCCACGCCGUAAACGAUGAUUACUCGUUGUUGGCGAUACACAGUCAGCGACCAAGCGAAAGCGA